rnacentral:rRNA from 1 species
AUUUAAAUAAUUAGGUAGUCUAAUCUUUCUAUAAAAACCAAUAAGUUUUGGCGGCAUUUCAUCUUAUUAGAGGAACCUGUAUUUUAAUCGAUAAUCCACGUUAAUUUUUACUCAUAAUAAUAUUUUAUAUACCGCCAUCUAAAGAAUUAACCCUAAUGUCCUAUUCUUAACAAUUUCUAAAAAGUUAGGUCAAGGUGUAAACCAUUUAUGAGAUAAAUAUGGGUUACAUUAAAAAAUAUUUAAGGACCUAAAACAACUUUAAAGAAAAAAAGGAUUUAAAAAUAAAUUAAAAAUAAUAUUUUUAAUUGAAUCAGAUAAUAAAUGUGU